GGGCCGCACGCGCGCUACACUGACAGAGCCAGCGAGUAUUAUUCCUUGGCUGGAAAGCCUGGGUAAUCUUGUUAAACUCUGUCGUGAUGGGGAUAGAACAUUGCAAUUAUUGUUCUUCAACGAGGAAUUCCUAGUAAGCGCAAGUCAUCAGCUUGCGUUGAUUACGUCCC
rnacentral:rRNA from 1 species